rnacentral:rRNA from 1 species
UACGUAGGUGGCAAGCGUUGUCCGGAGUUACUGGGCGUAAAGCGCACGCAGGCGGUCGAUUAAGUUUGGAGUGACAGUUGGUGGCUUAACUGCCAAAGUGCUUUGAAAACUGAUCGACUUGAGGGCUUCAGAGGGACACGGAAUUCCGGGUGGAGUGGUGAAAUGCGUAGAGAUCCGGAGGAACACCGAAGGCGAAGGCAGUGUCCUGGGGAGUACCUGACGCUCAGGUGCGAAAGCCAGGGGAGCGAUCCGG